CGUCUAUAUACGUAUAGCAUAUCAAUAAGCGGAGGAAAAGAAACUAACUAGGAUUCCCUCAGUAACGGCGAGUGAAGCGGGAAGAGCUCAAAUUUGAAAUCUUCAAGGUUCUACCUUGACGAAUUGUAGUUUAUAAGAAGUGUUUUCUGUUGGAGUGUUGGCUAAAAGUUCUUUGGAAUAGGACAUCAUAGAGGGUGAGAAUCCCGUAUUUGUACCAUUCCUCCUAGCUUUGUGAUACACUUUCAAAGAGUCGGAUUGUUUGGGAAUGCAGUCCAAAAUGGGUGGUAAAUUUCAUCUAAAGCUAAAUAUUGGCGAGAGACCGAUAGCGAACAAGUACCGUGAGGGAAAGAUGAAAAGAACUUUGAAAAGAGAGUUAAACAGUACGUGAAAUUGUCAAAAGGGAAGCGUUUGACACCAGUGUUGUUUUCUCGAAAAUCAAUUAAAAAAGGACCUGGAUUUUGUGUUGUAUUGACUUUAUCAGCUUUCUGCACUCUUUUCUUGUCUUUUUUAAUGCACUUUUCGUUUAACAAGUCAACAUCAAUUUCUUUUGUUGUAAAAGGGUCAUUGGAAGGUGGCUUUCUUUUCGGAGAAAGUGUUUAUAGCCUUUGGCCUCUGCAAUCGGAGAGAUUGAGGUCUGCAGCGUAGAUCCUUCGGGGUUAGAUACAUUUGUGCUAAGUUAUAGCCUUUCAUAGACAACUUGUUGACUAUGAUCAGUCAUGUAGCUUACUCGCUUAUGCUAUUUUACCUACGCUUAGGAUGUUGACUGAUAUGUAGUCGUA
rnacentral:rRNA from 1 species